rnacentral:rRNA from 1 species
UACGGAGGGAGCUAGCGUUGUUCGGAAUUACUGGGCGUAAAGCGCACGUAGGCGGCUUUGUAAGUUAGAGAUGAAAGCCCGGAGCUCAACUCCGGAAUUGCCUUUAAGACUGCAUCGCUUGAAUCCAGGAGAGGUGAGUGGAAUUCCGAGUGUAGAGGUGAAAUUCGUAGAUAUUCGGAAGAACACCAGUGGCGAAGGCGGCUCACUGGUCCGGUACUGACGCUGAGGUGCGAAAGCGUGGGGAGCAAACAGG